UAGGGAAUCUUCCGCAAUGGGCGAAAGCCUGACGGAGCAACGCCGCGUGAGUGAUGAAGGUCUUCGGAUCGUAAAACUCUGUUAUUAGGGAAGAACAAAUGUGUAAGUAACUAUGCACGUCUUGACGGUACCUAAUCAGAAAGCCACGGCUAACUACGUGCCAGCAGCCGCGGUAAUACGUAGGUGGCAAGCGUUAUCCGGAAUUACUGGGCGUAAAGCGCGCGUAGGCGGUUUUUUAAGUCUGAUGUGAAAGCCCACGGCUCAACCGUGGAGGGUCAUUGGAAACUGGAAAACUUGAGUGCAGAAGAGGAAAGUGGAAUUCCAUGUGUAGCGGUGAAAUGCGCAGAGAUAUGGAGGAACACCAGUGGCGAAGGCGACUUUCUGGUCUGUAAAUGACGCUGAUGUGCGAAAGCGUGGGGAUCAAACAGG
rnacentral:rRNA from 1 species